CUUAUCAGUUCACAUCCGGUUUAGAAGUUUGCGCCAAUUUUAAACCACCUGGGUCAUGACUCAUGACAAGAACAAAGAGAAAGGAGAAAACAGCAACAAUAUUAGACCGUGGAUAAAGAGAGAAUAUGGACUGAUGAUGAAUCAGUUAACCCUCCACAAAGAAUAGAUCAAGAGGGCAUUUAUCUGCAGGAAAGGAUUCUGCUAAGAUAUGGACUAAAUGUAAGUAAUCACAAUUAAGAAUUAGGUCCAUAUUCAAAUGUUUAUGUCAUAUAAACAAAUGAUUAAAUACACUUUACAUUAUAUUAAAUUUGUCAAAGAAGCAUGUAGUUUUAUUUAACAAAGUGUUGUUUUUGAAUCCUUGUUUGUCAAUCUAUCCUGAAAUGCCAUUUAAUAUGAUUUUAAUGCACACAAAACAAGAUACAAAUGUGGGAUCUCUAGGUCAAAAUUAGGUUUAAUUCAUUGCUUAAAUAAAUAUUGGUUUCAAUGACUGCAAUGCGAGUAAUUUCUCUCUAUCUUUUUAACAGGUACUUGCAUAAUGUUGGAAAGGAAGUCCCCCCCCCCCCAAA